rnacentral:rRNA from 1 species
CACGUAGUUGGCCGUGGCUUUCUCAUAAGGUACCGUCAAUUGAUAGUCAUUUCCUCCUAUCACCUUUCUUCCCUUAUAACAGAAUUUUACAACCCGAAGGCCUUCUUCAUUCACGCGGCGUUGCUCGGUCAGGCUUUCGCCCAUUGCCGAAGAUUCCCUACUGCUGCCUCCCGUAGGAGUCUGGGCCGUGUCUCAGUCCCAGUGUGGCCGUUCACCCUCUCAGGUCGGCUACGCAUCGUCGCCUUGGUAGGCCUUUACCCCACCAACUAGCUAAUGCGCCGCAGGCUCAUCCAUCAGUGAUGCCAGGAGCAUCUUUAAACUUUCGUCCUAUCCGGUAUUAGCGAUCGUUUCCAAUCGUUGUCCCCGUCUGAUGGGCAGAUCACCUACGUGUUACUCACCCGUUCGCCGCUUCCCACCGAAGUGGUUCGCUCGACUUGCAUGUAUUAGGCACGCCGCCAGCGUUCAUCCUGAGCCAGGAUCAAAACUCU